rnacentral:misc_RNA from 1 species
ACAUCCUCAACCUCCUUGGUUUGGUUUUUGGACCAACCAAGUAGGCUUGGAAUUUGGAGGUUUUCUGCUGGCCUCCUCUGAAGCCAGCUCCUCUUAAAUGUAUCAGUGGGAUCCACUUUGCUUAGAUCCUCGACGUUGAUAAGAUGUUUCUACGUCUUGGCUUUUGCUCGGGAAGGACCUGCUUCUAACCGUCCCCAUCGGGGACAACGUUCGAGCCGAUCGCCCUUCACGGGGUGGGAAGCUUUUCGACCCAUGAAA